rnacentral:rRNA from 1 species
AUGAACGCUGGCGGCGUGCCUAAUACAUUCAAGUCGAGCGAACAGACGAGGAGCUUGCUCCUCUGACGUUAGCGGCGGACGGGUGAGUAACACGUGGAUAACCUACCUAUAAGACUGGGAUAACUUCGGGAAACCGGAGCUAAUACCGGAUAAUAUAUUGAACCGCAUGGUUCAAUAGUGAAAGACGGUUUUGCUGUCACUUAUAGAUGGAUCCGCGCCGCAUUAGCUAGUUGGUAAGGUAACGGCUUACCAAGGCAACGAUGCGUAGCCGACCUGAGAGGGUGAUCGGCCACACUGGAACUGAGACACGGUCCAGACUCCUACGGGAGGCAGCAGUAGGGAAUCUUCCGCAAUGGGCGAAAGCCUGACGGAGCAACGCCGCGUGAGUGAUGAAGGUCUUCGGAUCGUAAAACUCUGUUAUUAGGGAAGAACAAAUGUGUAAGUAACUAUGCACGUCUUGACGGUACCUAAUCAGAAAGCCACGGCUAACUACGUG